rnacentral:rRNA from 1 species
UACGGAGGAUCCGAGCGUUAUCCGGAUUUAUUGGGUUUAAAGGGUGCGCAGGCGGGAGAUUAAGUCGGCGGUGAAAUUUUGCGGCUCAACUGUAAAAGUGCCUUCGAAACUGGUUUCCUUGAGUGUAGAUGAAGUAGGCGGAAUUUGUAGUGUAGCGGUGAAAUGCAUAGAUAUUACAAGGAACUCCGAUUGCGAAGGCAGCUUACUAAAUUACAACUGACGCUUAGGCACGAAGGCGUGGGUAUCAAACAGGAUUAGAUACCCCUGUAGUUCCUGAGCGGG